GAUGAACGCUGGCGGCGUGCCUAAUACAUGCAAGUCGAGCGAACAGACGAGGAGCUUGCUCCUCUGACGUUAGCGGCGGACGGGUGAGUAACACGUGGAUAACCUACCUAUAAGACUGGGAUAACUUCGGGAAACCGGAGCUAAUACCGGAUAAUAUAUUGAACCGCAUGGUUCAAUAGUGAAAGACGGUUUUGCUGUCACUUAUAGAUGGAUCCGCGCUGCAUUAGCUAGUUGGUAAGGUAACGGCUUACCAAGGCAACGAUGCGUAGCCGACCUGAGAGGGUGAUCGGCCACACUGGAACUGAGACACGGUCCAGACUCCUACGGGAGGCAGCAGUAGGGAAUCUUCCGCAAUGGGCGAAAGCUUGACGGAGCAACGCCGCGGGAGUGAUGAAGGUCUUCGGAUCGUAAAACUCUGUUAUUAGGGAAGAACAAAUGUGUAAGUAACUAUGCACGUCUUGACGGUACCUAAUCAGAAAACCACGGCUAACUACGU
rnacentral:rRNA from 1 species